rnacentral:rRNA from 1 species
CUACACAUGCACGUCGAGCGGGGUUUUCGGACCUAGCGGCGGACGGGUGAGUAAUGCGUAGGAAGCUGCCCGAUAGAGGGGGAUACCAGUUGGAAACGACUGUUAAUACCGCAUAAUGUCUACGGACCAAAGUGUGGGACCUUCGGGCCACAUGCUAUCGGAUGCGCCUACGUGGGAUUAGCUAGUUUUUUGAGGUAAUGGCUCACCAAGGCGACGAUCUCUAGCUGGUUUGAGAGGAUGAUCAGCCACACUGGAACUGAGACACGGUCCAGACUCCUACGGGAGGCACCAGUGGGGAAUAUUGGACAAUGGGCGCAAAGCCUGAUCCAGCCAUGCCCGCGUGCCGU